rnacentral:rRNA from 2 species
CUUGGUAGCCAUGGUAGAGGUGUCACACCCGUUCCCAUCCCGAACACGGAAGUUAAGCCCUCCAACGCCGAUGAUACUGCAUUCGCGGGAAAGUAGGUAGCAGCCAGGC